GUGGUGGCCGUCUUUAUUAAUUGGAGAAGAGGGGACGCAAGAUUUAAAAAAAGGAAAAACAGUUGGGCGCAAGUUUUGGUGGAGUGUGGGCCGCCAAAGGGCCGAAGCCCAGCGAUUUGUGUGAACUGUUAGAGUGUAUGGCCAAUAAUAUAUUGGGGAGCCCUAUUACGUUAAAGAGAGGUAUGAUAUUUGAAGAGAGCCGCACAGGAGAUUUUGGAGUUGGAAAGCAUAUCAGACGGCAACAGUGGGACGCACGAAGAAGAGAGCAGGUCGAUUGAGAGGAUACGGACAACAUCAGUCACAGAUCAGAGAAGGAGAGAAAGGAAAAAAGAGUUGGUUCGAGGGUUCAAGCCGCGGUCAAGAUUUGAGAUUCGGGUGACUAUGGUGGGCUUCCGGAUGGCGGUCAAGCAAUGUAGAAGAACCGAACACGUAUUUUGAAGCUUCCGCGUUAACUUAACUUUGUUUUAGACAAUGAUUUUGGUGUAAAUGAAUUGACAACCAUGUCCUAAGGAAUUUAAACUAGUCGGUGGUGACUAGUAUAAGUUACUUUAAA